ensembl:lncRNA
GCAUGCUCUUCCAAGUUCAGCAGACUUUAGUUGACUGUAAAUGAUUGAAUCAAUAAAAGGAGGACAACGCAGGAUCAAUCUUCUACAGGACUGUGCUUUAUUUUAGUCUAAGCAGAAUAUAAUGAACUAGAGAACUACAGUUCAGGAGCACUAUGGGAGGAACCACCCCGAAUUAGGGAAAAACAGACCCGUGCCAACACUAAGUCAAAUUACAGUUCUGUUUUGAGAAAAUAAAGAUAAUCAACUGAUUUUGUUCAAGUAAAAAUGAGAAAGAUAUACAAUUAUAUCAUUCAACUAAAAUAUUAUAAAUAAAUGAACUAAUAAGUACCUAAAAUAAAUGAUGUUAAUUACAUAAAAUGACAUGCUUUAUUUGUCUGACAGAAGUAAAAUCAAGUGGAUGAAAUGUGAGAGAGAAGCUGGGAAUGUAAUGUCUCAUGAAGCAAAGUACAGUGGAUGUUUUUGCUUUCCUGUAUAUCUGAAUGGUUGCACAAAGGCUCUCAUUUCAUGUUUUGUUCGGGAAACUCUGCUCUAUUGGUUUCAUGUGAUAAAAUUUGGUCCAUGUAACCGAUGGAAAUGUAACUAUACUGUAUGAUCCCGUCCUUAUUGGUGUCAGAAGUGGGAUUGAGGCAAAACUGACACAAGGCAAUCUUUACAACUGACAGCUGCAUUUCAAUUAAACAGAAUCUCAUCUCUGCAAGGAAAAACCAGAGCAUGUUUAUGAACAAUGGAAAAGAACUAGCAUUGGCACCCCCAGAAUACAAUGUAUGUGCUACGUUUUUGAAGGUAGUACCGUCAGAGAGAAUGCAUGUGUUUUAAGGCAGACUUCCCUCUUUUGAUCAGUUUGGUGUCAAGGCCACGGGUUGACCUGACUUGACCAAAACAGUGUAGUGGAACGUUCAAUCUGUUAUUGGCACAUUGUCUUCAGUGGUGUUGGAGUCAACCACAGUUAUUAUAUACAAGAUAGACCAGUAAUGUUGAAAUAGCUCUUCAGAAAUGAUCUCUGAGAGAAAUUCCCGCAUGCAGAGAAGAUGAAAAUAAAAGAGAUGUCUCUGAUUCUUUUUCAAGAAAAAAAUGAAUUCAAGAUGAAAGAAAUAAUCAAACAAAAGAGAAAUGUAUGGCUGAAAGACAAUGGUCAUGUUAAAUGACAGCUUAUUUUUCAAAACAAAUCUGACAACAAAUGUUGUCAUCUUUAUGAAUCCACAUGAACUUUUAUCAUCCUUUACGGUCCAGUUUCUUCAUUCCUGUCCUGAAUGUAAGAGCUUUCUGUCAACAACAUAUCUUUAAACUUGCCCAUUUACAUGUAAUUCCAUAUGGGGAUUGUGUAGCAAAAUGUCCCUUCAACAUGUAUCUUCAAAGCAUAUCAGAAUAAACCUUGAGACAAUGGGUCCAUCACAGCUUCAGCAGAUAACAAAACAGAAAACAUAAGAGAAUGGGAAAAAAUAACCAUUUUAUCAACAUGAAUAUAAAAUCCAUUUUAACAUCAGCGCUUCAAUAUACAAGAAAUAAAAAUGUUUUCUCUCUACUGUUUUUGAUAAAUUAUUUCAUAGUUUCCUUCUCGUAGUCAGUGAAAUAUAUUAACUAUUUCUUUCUUUUUUUUCAACAUAAUUUAUUGUACGGUCGUCUAUAAAGAAGCCUUAACAGAAUUAAAAAAUAAGCUAUGUAAUAUGUACAGGAGUACCGCAGGCAGCUGUGUACUCGGGCCGUGGGGAGAGCAGAGGCAGGGGCAGGCCACAGAGGCAGGGAGAUCUGCAGGGUAGUCAUUCAUUCUAGUAGCAGUGCAUCCGGCUCACCUGGCCCAAUCCUCUCUCUUUCUCAUCAUACACCUGUGUUCUGUGUUUGGAUCAUAUGGAAAUAUGUUUUCAGCUCCAGUCUGGCAAACCCUCACCCCCUUCCGCCCAUACCCGUGGAGCUGUGGAGCAUAGCGGUGACUGGCGGACGCCGCCCCGGUGGCAAGCUAGCUAGCAACUUGCGAACUAAUGGCUGCUGUCACUAUCACCUGCUCCUCUGCACGGCACGGAGCAGACUGAGGGGCAGGCCUUCUCGUCACGUAUUUGAGGUCACAUCUAUCCGUCUAAUCAGCUCCAAUUGGACUAAUCCAAUUAGCUAGUGCACAGGCAAUCUUUCAACUGUCAGAAAUAUCAUGAUGUGUCAGUGUAAACCUAAUUAAUGGAUUGCUCCAGGCUGGAAUAGAAGCCCUACUAAAUCAUCUAGAAUCAGAUCUCUGCUAUCCUCUCCCUGUUAUGUUGGGUGGUGUUCAGCUGAGGGUAUAGUGCAUAUUCAUUCAUGUUUACUCAGUAACCAAAAAGGCCAAAGUGUUAAAAAGUCCCACCCUCUCCAAAGAUUCCCUGCACUGCUGUGGAUACGUUUUAUAGUGACAUCAAUGUCCCACACAGCCAGGCGACUACUUUAGACAGACCUCUCUACUGUACAGUUCUUACUUCCUGACUCAUUUGUUUCUGUGUUCUAUUAUUUACAUGAAGGAAUAAAAAAUUCUGUCUCCAUUUUUUGAUUUGAAUCUCCAGCUUUGUUGUCAAACAUGAUCCCACACUUUUCUGUGAUUGACUGCACUUUAUGCUGUUUAUGAUAGGAUCAAAGUCUUCCUUUUAGUGUCUUUUAAAAUUGCACGUUGACCUGAUGGAUCCAAGGCAUUAAUGUUUCAAUGACAGACAACACUCCCCCUGACUGACUGACAGUGUGAUCGUGUCUCUGGCUCCUCCAGCUGCCCUGGCAGAGGUCCAACAUGCUCCCCCAGCUCCCACCAUACUCUCAGUGCCUCUGGGUGAAUACGCAGCUCUUAUUCCUCCCCAGCCAGACAAGGCAGGCAGGGCCCAUGGGGAAGGCAAGGCUCUGAAAGUUUCCACUAAUCAUGACAUCAUAGCGCCUGAUGCCCUGAGUAUUGAGGUGACUUUGUGGAGUUUCAGUUUAGCAUCCAGCCCCCCCCAAACCCACUUCACUUCCCCUCUCAGCAAAAAUCCCAUUUCCACAGCGAAAAUCCCUUUUUGCGUUAGCUAAGCGAGAUGACGGAAAAGCUCUCCUUUUCUCCCAAAGCAGCUAUUAAAUGAGAGCCAUUAAUUUCUCCCUCCUGUCCAACAGGUUCCUUUAAUUAUCUCUCCACUUUCAGUCAAUUACAUUUCACUUCCUUUCCUUGACAAUCACUGCUAUUUUAGGGUGAGUGUUCUCUACACCCAGGGGCUGGGGUCUGCUACACAUGCUAGGCAGAUCUCUCUUCGCCCACUAGGAUUGGUUAUUCAACCCAUCCGCCAGCUUCAGAGCUCAGAUGAUUGGUUAUCUAGCCUCUUAGCCUCUUAGUCAAGCUCUUCGGCUCUUAGGACUGGUUAUCCUGCCCCUCUGUCAGCCUCGGAGCUCUGAGGUUUCUAACUCCUCAUGAGGACAGACUUUAUGGAAUGCAAACUAGGAAGGCAUUAUAUCUAGAGCCAGUAGAGGAGGCAGAAUAACCAGAGGUUAAGAAAUGUGAAUAACUGCCUCACAGGUGCUAAUGUUACAUGAGAAGGUCAGACAUUACAGUGACCGUUGACAGGACCAUAAAUAUGUUUUUGUUAUAUUAUAUUUUACAUACAGUACCAGUCAAAAGUUUGGACACACCUACUCAUUCAAGGGUUUUUCUUUAUUUUUACUUUUUUCUACAUUGUAGAAUAAUAGUGAAGAUAUAAACUAUGAAUUAACACAUAUAGUAAAAAUAAAGAAAGGUGUGUCCGAACUUUUGACUGUUACUGUAUUUCCAAACAGACUCAUAAAGUGAGUCGAACUAACAAUAGCAAUAACCUAUAAUGUCAAUCUAAAUAUUCUCAUCUUAACAUGAGUGGGUGGCUUUCAGUCCUGCGUAAGGCGAGUCACUCCUAAGUUAACAUUCUUGACUAAAGGCCAGACAGGGCCAGAGCUGGGCUAAGAUGGGCUGAGAUGGGCUGAGCUGGGCUGAGAUGGGCUGAGAUGGGCUGAGAUGGGCUGAGCUGGGCUGAGAUGGGCUGAGAUGGGCUGAGAUGGGCUGAGAUGGGCUGAGCUGGCAGACUUCUGGAGUCAGUAAGAGAAGGAAUUAAAACCCACUUCUCAUUUUCUUUCUUCCAGAGCCUGGCUUCACUACAGCUAUUUCUGUUUUCACUGCAUGUCACACUAAUAACCUUCCUCCCCUGUGUGGAAGAGCAAUAAGAGGACCCUGGUUCUAACAGCUCCCUGAUUUAACAUGGUCUAAUCUAGCCUUCCCAAGCACGUUUCUGCAGCUCCCUGGUGCAGCAGAAAGGCUAUACGAGUGUAGCACGUUAGCCAAGCAGGGAAUAUAAGACUGGGCAGGGGAUUGGACCUAGGCUGAACCUAACCUUGCUCUAAGUUGACUGUAGGGGUGUGCAGCAUUUAACUGGUGUAGGAGCCAUCAGAGGGCUCGUGGGGAGGCUAAUGGGACUAGUCUUGCAGGAGGUGCUUUUGAAGCGGCAGAGAGACAAGCAUAGGAGAUUUCAUCGCUCACGGAACAUUAGGUUUCCUAUUGAUUAAUUCAGCAUUACGUAAAUAAUGAGCACAAAAGGGCUGCUGUGAAGAACAUGCAUUCAUAUUGACCUACUUCACAUUAACUCUUGUUGCUUCCUAGUUCCUACAUGUUUUGCUGACUUCAUAACAACUAAAGGCUGAGUGUUUUUACUGUGUUUUUGAAGGCAAGCUGAGACAACACACGACCAAAGCUGGCACUGUUUUUUUCAACGGGCAUCAUUUUGAUUCAAAAUAACUACUGUGCUUCACCAAUAUUGUUCCUCCAGUUCUGAACAAUAUUCUGUGCUUUGCAGGUGUCCCGACUGUAAUACUGCCGUGAAAAAUGCAAAAAUUUUAGAGCGGGUUGUUUUGUGGACAAUGGCGGCUUCUGAGGCGAUUGUUGAGACACAAUUAUGUGCUGAAAGCUGAUGUACAAUAACAUGGGCCACCUGGCAGGCAGCUGCAACGGAGGAACUGAGGGUUUUUCAACGGACUAGUUGGUUGUCUGCUACCCAUUUCAACCUGCUAUUGUUCAGUAGCUUUUAUGCCUGGAGAAAUAUUUCAAACCUAGUCUAUUUUGCCUUAUUUUCAACAUAAUCUAUACCCACGCCAAUCAAAUAUCCAACAUUAAUACCCAGAGUAGCUAUGAUAUGGCUGGGUUUUAUCCAUCUUCCUGGAUCCCAUCUCCAUCAUAAAUACGGAUGCGGUGAUAUCGGUGCCAGGUCAGCUGUCGGCAUCCUUGCCAGGGAGCCGCUACAAACAUAAUUCUCUCUAAUCUACCUUCUGUCAUCACAGAGCAUUCAAGGGACCAUCCCCACUGUCAUUUGGUCCAGGUGAUUAUGCAGAUGACUUUUCACUUGGUUGGUGUUAAUGUAUAGAGCCUCACUAUUACAACGUGAUUAGAGGGAAAGGUGAAAUAGCAUGUCUAAUACGGAGGAAGAGAUAAUUGAAGGCUAUUGAAGCCAAACACUGAACUGCAAGUUGGUUUGAAACAUUGUUCCAGGGGAACAGCUGAACAGCAUAGCCUGGUAAAACCAGACUGAACCCACCAUUUUUGAGUGCAGAGUUCAGUCUGGUUGAACCAGGCUAUGAACAGCUAGGUUGGGGUUCUGGAAGGCAUGAUGGAACAGAACAGUGUCUAUUUAUAGCAGAGGAACACAAACACAAAGUCAGAAGCUAACAUUCAUUACAGUAGUGUGGUAUGGUGAAAGCAAGGAUACAAAUCAAGACAAAUCCAAGACCUUUUCGCUCACAGAAAUGAGUGGCAUGGUAUUGUCUUUAAGCAGCUGGGAGAAAGACAAUGAAAGUCAUUGUACUGUAAAUGUGUCUUGUGUGAUGCAGGCAGGCAGGGCUUUCAGUCAGUGACUUGGAAUGCGUCCGCUCUGCUUUGGAGAGCAAGUCCCAGAGGUAAACAGAGACAGACUGGACAGAAGGCAGCAGGUACCUAAUACAUGCCAAGUGAUUCCUUAUCAACCCUUCAAUCCCAUUCCCAAAGAGCUAGGCAGCACAGAUACAUGAUGUUUGGCAAGGUGGUGGUGUUGAGUGGGGGGGGUUGUGGCUUUUGAUUGCAUGGAUUUGGUCCCCCGGGGGAUAAUUCCAAGGAGCAUCACUUUGAAGGAUAAGAAAAGACAAGGUUGGACAUGUUGGUGUGGAGUAGGACUCAGAGAUCAGGGUUUGGCUGUUGACUUCUCCCACUCUCCUCUCGCCUUCUCUUCCCUGUCCAGCUCUGCCUCCCCCUCUGUAUGCCUUCAGUCAGCUCUCAGGGAGUUGGGAGGGAGGGGGAGAGCUGGGGGAAAGCUGGUGUUCUACUGAGAGAACUUGAGGAAGUGUGGACAGUGAAUGACUUGCAAUCUUAUCCUUCCUCGAGACUCAACGCAAACAUAUCGAUCUGGUUUUCAUAUAGCGGGGCCAGCUGCAUCCACCACAAAAUAAAGGGCUCAUAGACACUAACUAAAAGCCUGACAAGUUAAGAGUUCAGAGUUGUGAUCUGCUAGGCAUGGAUUGGCAGGGAGGAGCUGAACGAUGGCGGUUGUAUGGCUGUAAUUCAGACUGUGUUAGGUUAGGUUGAGACGGAUAGGUAGGUUUUUCCACAGGCUCAUUAUAUAAUAUUUGAAAAAAAAGCAGGUCAGGGAGGGGACAUGUUAACAGUGGCAUGUACAUUAUAUACGACACAGCUAAAUGAGCUCUAAAAGCUUCCACUGUUUGGCCAUCCAUAAAUCUUGUGUGUUUUUCAGAGCAAGUUCUGCUUGUAUCUGUUCUGCAGCCGUGGGGGUGAGGCGAUGUUUCUCAAUCUCACCAGAGCUUUAGAACGGCUUCAGCGGACAUAAAUAUCUCUGGCCUCUCUCUCUCUCUCUCUCUCUCUCUCUCUCGUUCUCCCUCUUGCCUAUAAAGUGGUUAUUUUUAAUGGGUCUAUUUUUUUAAAUUUUACUCAAACACCAUGAGAGCCAAUUCAUUGUUAUACAGUUGAGUCCACUCUUUUGGCAGUUUCAGUAGCUAUCAACUCAAUCAUUUUCUUCUCUGCUUGCCUUAAUUUUUGUCCAUUAGUCCAUCUCGUUUGCAGAAGCUUCUCUUUAAGCAUUUCUUUAAUACGUUUUAUAAUAGCACACUCCCUGUGUAAUAAAAAAGCUCAAAAGAAAAGAACACACCAUGUCCGAUUUGCUUGGUUUUUACAGUGGAUUGUCGCUUGAACACAAAGGCUUGUGGGAAAUAAGCCUCUCAUUUGUGCACCCUGUCCAGCACAGACACUAGGAAGGUCCAUCUGUCUUUUCUCUUCUUCUUCCCCCUCUUCUCAAAAACAGUUCCUUUAUAGCUGUCAGAUAGUGCUGUGAGUGAGUUGCACACCAUGAUGAGGGACAUGUCCAGCGGCCCGACCGUAACAUCCAAGAGAGAGACCCCAAUGCCCCAAAGCCCACUGGGACGGACAAAAUGAAUAAUUGUAUCUUUUUCAUCCCUCCCCUACUUUACAAGUUCAAGUAUUUUUUUCUUUAAAAAAAAAACAACAGCAAAAAAGAGCAAAUCUACUUUUCUAGUAUUCUACAUUUUCUAAUCUACUAACUGGGGGCAAAACAGCAACCAGAACAUAAUAAUCAGCCCCUUUACUACGUUUCCUUGUCUUUUUUUCAAUGUAUACAUUAUUUCCUUUAUCUUUUUAUUCUUACUUAGGCCACUGGAUAUUGAUUUAAUGAUUUAUUUUGACUACUAUUAAAUUGUAAUACUUGCAGCUACAAGGUAAGAGGUUUUUAAAUAUAUAUAUAUAUAUAUAUAUAUGUAUAUAUUUAUAUUCUUUUAAAAAGCGUUAAGUCCUUUGGUCCCUAUUUCCUAAGGAAUGAUGCAUGUAAAUUCUCCUGGAUUCUCCCUUUCUCUUCUUCUUUCCUCAGAGCUCGCCCUGUCACAGAGCACAUCACCUGUGUAGGCACGAAAACCAAAAUGGCAGCAGGCUGGUGUGUGUGUGUGUGUGUGUGUGUGUGUGUGUGUGUGUGUGUGUGUGUGUGUGUGUGUGUGUGUGUGUGUGUGUGUGUGUGUGUGUGUGUGUGUGGUGUCAGUUUGCAUGCUUUGAGCAUAAUGUGUCUAUAAAGGUUUUCCAUCUUCUCUAAAAAACAGCAGCAAAAAGUUGGUCUCUGCAAAAAAUCCUCUUCCACAGACGCCAAAGCAAAACAGGGAAAAAAAGAGGCAUUUGCUAAAAAAACAAACAAGAAUCUCCGGGUUCUUUCUCCUCCUCAGUCACCCAAUCUUCUCCAGCUAUUCUUCCAGCAGAAUCAAGGGACCACCCUUCUUUCAUGAUAUGUAGCAGAGCAAGAAGUCUUUGUACUUUAUACUGCACUUGUGGAAAUAAGGUGUUGUGGCCCUUCAUCCUGUAAGAGAGAGAGAGAGAGCAGAUUCAGUGAGGCGAGGGCACAGGGGUCUUGUUCAGGGUGCUGGCUCCUGCCUGGUUUAGCACACUGACAGGCACAGCUAACAGAAUGGAAAACAGACAAAGGAAAAGAAGGAGGAUGUCAAUCAGAUCUAGAAAGAAGUAAGCUGGAGGUGGAGGGGUUGUGUUUUACCAUAUGGAACAGAUGUAUGCUGUGACAGCACUAAUCCAAAGGCGGUAGGUAUUUAAAGCAACUUUACUC